UAAAACACCAGUUCUCCUCCAAUCACUGAAAUUAAGCAAUAUUGAGCCUGGUGAGUACUUAGAUGGGUGACCACUUGGAAAUACAAGGUGCUGUAAU